UCUUCGGUGGCCUAGUAGUUAGAGCGUCCGCCUCGGAUGCGGAAGGUCGUCGGUUUGAUCCCCAGUCGAAUCA